GAUGAAGAACGUAGCGAAAUGCGAUAAGUAAUGCGAAUUGCAGAAUCCGUGAGUCAUCGAAUCUUUGAACGCACAUUGCGCCCGCCAGUAUUCUGGCGGGCAUGCCUGUUCGAGCGUCAUUACAACCCUCAGGCCCCCGGGCCUGGCGUUGGGGAUCGGCGGAGCCCCCCGUGGGCACACGCCGUCCCCCAAAUGCAGUGGCGGUCCCGCCGCAGCUUCCAUCGCGUAGUAGCUAACACCUCGCGACUGGAGAGCGGCGCGGCCACGCCGUAAAACACCCAACUCUUCUGAAGUUGACCUCGAAUCAGGUAGGAAUACCCGCUGAACUUAAGCAUAUCAAUAAGCGGAGGA
rnacentral:misc_RNA from 1 species